rnacentral:rRNA from 1 species
CUACCGUGCCCUGCGGAAUAGCUCCGGGAAACUGGAAUUAAUACCGCAUACGCCCUACGGGGGAAAGAUUUAUCGGGGUAUGAUGAGCCCGCGUUGGAUUAGCUAGUUGGUGGGGUAAAGGCCUACCAAGGCGACGAUCCAUAGCUGGUCUGAGAGGAUGAUCAGCCACAUUGGGACUGAGACACGGCCCAAACUCCUACGGGAGGCAGCAGUGGGGAAUAUUGGACAAUGGGCGCAAGCCUGAUCCAGCCAUGCCGCGUGAGUGAUGAAGGCCUUAGGGUUGUAAAGCUCUUUCACCGGUGAAGAUAAUGACGGUAACCGGAGAAGAAGCCCCGGCUAACUUCGUGCCAGCAGCCGCGGUAAUACGAAGGGGGCUAGCGUUGUUCGGAAUUACUGGGCGUAAAGCGCACGUAGGCGGAUAUUUAAGUCAGGGGUGAAAUCCCAGAGCUCAACUCUGGAACUGCCUUUGAUACUGGGUAUCUUGAGUAUGGAAGAGGUAAGUGGAAUUGCGAGU